GACGAACGUUGGCGGCGUGCUUAAUACAUGCAAGUCAACUGAAGCAGUGGUAGCAAUAUCGCUGUGGAGGUGGCGCACGGGUGAGUAACACGUAGGUAAUCUGCCUUCAGGUCUGGCAUAACUCCGGGAAACCGGGGCUAAUAGCAGAUGAUGCAGCGGCUCGACAUCGAGACAGUUGUUAAAGCUAUGGCGCCUGAAGAUGAGCCUGCGUCUGAUUAGCUAGUUGGCGGGGUAACGGCCCACCAAGGCAACGAUCAGUAGCUGGUCUGAGAGGAUGAGCAGCCACACUGGAACUGAGACACGGUCCAGACUCCUACGGGAGGCAGCAGUAAGGAAUAUUGCUCAAUGGGAGAAAUCCUGAAGCAGCAACGCCGCGUGAGGGACGAAGGGCUUUUGCUUGUAAACCUCUGUAGUGAGAGAAAAAAAUCCCAAUCUUUGGGACAUGAUGGUAUCUCAAAAGUAAGCCCCGGCUAACUACGUG
rnacentral:rRNA from 1 species